AGACUGCAGCUAAAUGAAAAAUCUGGAUCUCUCACCAUCAGUAACUCCAGAACCACAGACGCUGGAGAUUAUCAUCUAAAUAUGAGCAGUAGCACAUACACCUUACAGAGGACCAUCAAUGUUACUGUCAGUGCUCAGUCCGGUGCUGCAUCAGGGAUAUGUGGUGCUGGUGUUGGUCUGGUGGUUUGGGCUGUAACUGUGUUUUUGCUACAAGAAGUAUAAGCAACCAAGGCAAAUGUACACUCUUCUCUUUACAACACAGUUACUGUUAAUCUAUUGGUCAUUUAAGAAACCAAUUGACCAGCAACUGACCAAAUGCUUCAUGGUGAAACUUCAAGGACUCCUGACUCUGUGUUGUUGCCUUGACAUCCUUUAUUUUUUUUGUCACAGGCGCUAAUACUGCGCAAAGAACGGACAGCAUGCUAUGAAAUGAGCAACUCCCAACAGCAGUAGUUUAUAGUCACUAUAACAGUAUACACAUUAACAGUAUUUGAAUUCAACCCAUGUGUACUUUUUAGAUGUGAAACUAGUAAGUGAGAAUUUCAU